rnacentral:rRNA from 1 species
AAUUUUGGACAAUGGGGGAAACCCUGAUCCAGCCAUCCCGCGUGUAUGAUGAAGGCCUUCGUGUUGUAAAGUACUUUUGGCAGAGAAGAAAAAGUAUCUCCUAAUACGAGAUACUGCUGACGGUAUCUGCCGAAUUAGCACCGUCUACCUACGUGACAGAAACCGCGGUAAUACGUAGGGUGCAAUCGUUAAUCGGAAUUACUGGGAGUAAAGCGUGUGUAGGCGGUUCGGAAAGAAAGAUGUGAAAUCCCAGGGCUCAACCUUGGAACUGCAUUUUUAACUGCCGAGCUAGAGUAUGUCAGAGGGGGGUAGAAUUCCACGUGUAGCAGUGAAAUGCGUAGAUAUGUGGAGGAAUACCGAUGGCGAAGGCAGCCCCCUGGGAUAAUACUGACGCUCAGACACGAAAGCGUGGGGAGCAAACAG